ACGAACGCUGGCGGCUGCUUAACACAUGCAAGUCGAACGGAGUGGCGAACGGGUGAGUAACGCGUGAGCAACCUGCCUAUGACAGUGGGAUAGCCUCGGGAAACCGGGAUUAAUACCGCAUAGUCAUAGAUGGGCUCGCGUCUGAUUAGCUAGUUGGUGAGAUAACAGCCCACCAAGGCGACGAUCAGUAGCCGGUCUAGGAGGAUGAACGGACACAUUGGAACUGAGACACGGUCCAAAAUCCUACGGGAGGCAGCAGGGGGGAAUAUUGCACAAUGGGGGAAACCCUGAGGCAGCGGCGCCGCGUGGACGAAGAAAGUAGUCGUAUCGUAAAGUUCUGUCCUAUGGGAAGCAGUACCAUAGAAGAAAGCUCCGGCUAAAUACGUGCCAGCAGCCGCGGUAAUUC
rnacentral:rRNA from 1 species